rnacentral:rRNA from 1 species
ACGGGGUGMUUGCACCCWGUGGCGAAACGGGUGAGUAACACGUAUYUAAUCUACCUAUUAGCGGGGGAUAAACAGUUGGAAACGACUGCUAAUACYGCAUACGACAUUUUUGGCAUCAGAGAAUGUUAAAAGGUCCGUUUGGACCASUAAUGGAUGAGGGUGCGGCGUAUUAGUUAGUUGGKGGGGUAAUGGCCUAYCAAGACAAUGAUAYGUAGCCGAACUGAGAGGUUGAACGGCCACAUCGGGACUGAGACACGGCCUGAACUCCUWCGGGAGGCAGCAGUAAAGAAUUUUUCACAAUGGGCGAAAGCCUGAUGGAGCAAUAACCCGUGAMUGAAGACGGUCUUCGGAUUGUAAAGGUCUGUGUAAGGGAAGAACAGUAAGUUUAGGAAA